GAACGCACAUUGCGCCCGCUAGUAUUCUGGCGGGCAUGCCUGUCCGAGCGUCAUUUCAACCAUCAAGCCCUAGGCUUGUGUUGGGGUUCUGCGGCUGUCCGCAGGCCCUGAAAAUCAGUGGCGGGCUCGUUGUCAAACCGAGUGCAGUAGUAAUAUUCUCUCUGGUCUUACAGCUUGUUCUUGCCGUAAAACAAUCCAAUUUCUAAGGUUGACCUCGGAUCAGGUAGGAAUACCCGCUGAACUUA
rnacentral:misc_RNA from 1 species